rnacentral:rRNA from 1 species
GUAGAAUUCCAGGUGUAGCGGUGAAAUGCGUAGAGAUCUGGAGGAAUACCGGUGGCGAAGGCGGCCCCCUGGACGAAGACUGACGCUCAGGUGCGAAAGCGUGGGGAGCAAACAGGAUUAGAUACCCUGGUAGUCCACGCCGUAAACGAUGUCGACUUGGAGGUUGUGCCCUUGAGGCGUGGCUUCCGGAGCUAACGCGUUAAGUCGACCGCCUGGGGAGUACGGCCGCAAGGUUAAAACUCAAAUGAAUUGACGGGGGCCCGCACAAGCGGUGGAGCAUGUGGUUUAAUUCGAUGCAACGCGAAGAACCUUACCUGGUCUUGACAUCCACAGAACUUUCCAGAGAUGGAUUGGUGCCUUCGGGAACUGUGAGACAGGUGCUGCAUGGCUGUCGUCAGCUCGUGUUGUGAAAUGUUGGGUUAAGUCCCGCAACGAGCGCAACCC